AAGAAUAAACCACACCCAAGCUGAAUUUGCUAAUAAAGGUCUUGUGUGCCAUUUCAAAGAUUGAAUAUACAAGUGCUACAGUAUGUGUGGCUAACAGUUAACAUUAGUGUCACGGGGUGGCUAAGGCCGCAACUUUAGGCCAAGGUUGUUGUUGUGGCGGGGAGCACUUCCAGGAAAAAUAAGCUGGAAUAGAAGAUAACGAGGAUAAACGCUGGCAGCUGUGUGGGGGAAAAUGCGUAAGCAGGUGAUUGGAUUGGGAGGGAAAUAAAAAGAGUUGGCGUUUAAGACAAGGGAGCAGAGAGGAAUGAUUGGGGAAGACACAGCAGGAAGGGAGGAAGGAUCGGUGAAGAUGGAGGAAGGAGAGAGGAAGGAUCAGUGAAGACACAGGAAGAGAAGAGGAAGGAAUCAGCGGAGAUGCAGUAGUGACACAGCGAAGAAUGAACUGGAGAUGGAUGUUUGGAAAUGACACUGUAGUGAGAGUCCUGUUUUGUAUCAGUAUACGGAGAGUUCAUUGGUUGAGACUGUCGUAUGGGCCCGCACUCUGCCUUAAGGAUCUGAGGUUUGUGCAUGCUGUGCUGAGUUUCAAUUAUCACGUGUGAAUUGAGUUUGUUGUAGUGUAUAAACGAGUGUGGGAUGAUGCAGAGUGUACAGGCGACCAACAUAUAAUCCCUGACUAAAGCUGUGAAUGAAGAAUCCGCUAAAGCGGUGAAGUGUAUUUACCUUUCUUCUCUCUGUCUGAGCCCUGAAUGAAGCAUCAGCUAAAGCUGUGAAUGAAGAACCUGCAAAGUGGUGAAGUAUAUGUACCCUCCACUCUCUGUCUGAGCCCAGUGAAGAACCUGCUAAAGCUGUGAAUGAAGAACCUACGGAAGUGGUGAAGUAUAAUUAUCUCCAUUCUCUCUGUGUGAAUCCAGCGAAGAGCCUGUUAAAGCUGUGAAGUUGAGGAGCCUGUUAACACUGUGAAAUAUAUGUACCUCACUUUCUCUCUGUCUGAGUCCAGUGAAGAGCCUGUUAAAAUUGUGAAGUGUAUUGGCCUCUCUCUAUCUUCAGUCUGAGUCCAGUGAAGAACCUGCUGAAGCGGAGAAGUAUAAUUACCUCCCUUCUCUCUGUCUGAGCUCAGUGAAGAGCCUGUUAAAGCUGUGACUUAUAUGUACCUCCUCUCUCCCUGUCUGAGUUUAGUGAAAAGCCUGCAGAGUCACUGAAGUGAGUUAUCUGCUGUUGUCGAUCUGCUACCAUUGUAGGACCCGUGACAUAUGGAAUUGAGUAUCCAUUGACUUGACCAUUCAUAUUGAAUCUGUGUGAAGCCCUGCAGAGUCACUGAAAUAGUGCUGUAACCCCACUGAACGGAGAUAGCCGCUGAUGAUAUCCCUACUGAGGACUCGAAGAACGGAGUUACCAUCAAGCUUUCACCAUCUGGCGCUGUAGCCACUCUGGCUGUAUUCACCUUACUGUGUUGGUAGUGGAGGAGGGGAACUUGAGCUACACAUGCAGUCACUCAACCUGGAGCUCCUCAAGAAGGGUGGAAGUGGGGGUGUCGGCCGGCAGGGAGUGCCUCCACACCCCCGGCUCGGCCCGUGACAAAGUGGUGUAGUCGGCAGGGUUCCCACCUUGAGUUGAGCACCCGUAUUCCAGGAGAUGGCGGACGAAGAGGCACCUGCGGAUAGACCCCAAGCGAGACAACCGGGGACAACCACCUGCGAGAUAUGGCGAGUGGGUCAUGGUGCAGGAGUUCUAGGCACUAGAACCCAUUGGUGGGGGAGGAUGUCACGGGGUGAUAAAGGCCGGAACUAUAGGCCGAGGUUGUUGUUGUGGCGGGGAGCACUUCCAGAGUAAAACAAGGCCGGUUCCGGGGAUACACGGAAGCAGGAAAAAUACGCUGGAAUAGAAGAUAACGAGGAUAAAAGCUGGCAGCUGUGCAGGGGAAAAUGCGUAAGCAGGUGAUUGGAUUGGGAGGGAAAUAAAAAGAGAAGGGAGCAGAGAGGAAGGAUUGGGGAAGACGCAGGAGGAAGGGAGGAAGGAUCGGUGAAGAUGGAGGAAGGAGGGAGGAAGGAUCAGCGAAGACACAGGAAGAGAAGAGGAAGGAAUCAGCGGAGACGCAGUAGUGAUACAGCGAGGAAUGAACUGAAGAUGGAUGUUUGGAAAUGGCACUGUAGUGAGAGUCCUGUUUUUUUAUCAGUAUAUGGAGAGUUCAUUUGUUGAGACUGUCGUAUGGGCCCGCACUCUGCCUUAAGGAUCUGAGGUCCGUGCAUGCUGUGCUGAUGAUAUCCCUACUGACGACUCAAAGAACGGAGUUACCAUCAAGCCUUCGCCAUCUGGCGCCAUAGCCACUUGGGCUGUAUUCACAUUGUAUUCACGUGUUGGUAGUGGAGGAGAGGAACUAGAGCUACACAUACAGUAACCUAACCUGGAGGGAGGAAGCUCAUAACGCUUUAGAGACAUUUUUUUUAAUUAAAUUAAUAAAUGUGUUAACUUUGAA